ACUUUGAUCUUUAUGGCUACCCUUCCUCAAAAUUAAGAUACGACCCUUAUUACCAUCCUUGUGGCACUGCAACCCUAGCUGCUUUGUUUGGACUAGCUCUAGUUCGAGCCAGCCUGGCAGGCCUCCUGUUGCAUCCACUUUGUAUUGUGUCUUAUAUGCUGUCAUUUUCCUUUGAGAACAAGCGGCAGAAGAAAUCCCUUUAAAACUUUGACUGCUGAGUUGAGUUCAAAUCUUUGAUCUGAAUUUUAUAAUGUUGACCUCCUGUUAUGAAAUAAUUUGAUAUUGUUUGAUUUGUUGCUGUUGAAUCUACGGGUGAACAUUUUGUUGUUGUUUUUUAAAUUGAACUCGCUUUUUGUUCAAUUAAAAAAAAAAAUUCAUGUU
rnacentral:sRNA from 1 species